rnacentral:rRNA from 1 species
AUUGAACGCUGGCGGAAUGCUUUACACAUGCAAGUUGAACGGCAGCACGGACUUCGGUCUGGUGGCGAGUGGCAAACGGGUGAGUAAUGUAUCGGGACGUGCCCAGUCGUGGGGGAUAACGUAGUGAAAAUUACGCUAAUACCGCAUACGAUCUAUGGAUGAAAGCGGGGGAUCGCAAGACCUCGCGCGAUUGGAGCGGCCGAUAUCAGAUUAGGUAGUUGGUGGGGUAAAGGCCCACCAAGCCAACGAUCUGUAGCUGGUCUGAGAGGACGACCAGCCACACUGGAACUGAGACACGGUCCAGACUCCUACGGGAGGCAGCAGUGGGGAAUUUUGGACAAUGGGCGAAAGCCUGAUCCAGCCAUUCCGCGUGCAGGAUGAAGGCCCUCGGGUUGUAAACUGCUUUUGUACAGAACGAAAAGGUUUCUACUAAUACUAGGAGCUCAUGACGGUACUGUAAGAAUAAGCACCGGCUAACUACGUGCCAGCAGCCGCCGUAA